rnacentral:tRNA from 1 species
AAGAGAGUGACAGAUGGGUAAUGUGACUGGCUUGAAAUCAGUUUAUGGGGGUUCAACUCCUCCCUUCUUCG